GAUGAACGCUGGCGGCGUGCCUAAUACAUGCAAGUCGAGCGAACAGACGAGGAGCUUGCUCCUCUGACGUUAGCGGCGGACGGGUGAGUAACACGUGGAUAACCUACCUAUAAGACUGGGAUAAAUUCGGGAAACCGGAGCUAAUACCGGAUAAUAUAUUGAACCGCAUGGUUCAUUAGUGAAAGACGGUUUUGCUGUCACUUAUAGAUGGAUCCGCGCCGCAUUAGCUAGUUGGUAAGGUAACGGCUUACCAAGGCAACGAUGCGUAGCCGACCUGAGAGGGUGAUCGGCCACACUGGAACUGAGACACGGUCCAGACUCCUACGGGAGGCAGCAGUAGGGAAUCUUCGGCAAUGGGCGAAAGCCUGACGGAGCAACGCCGCGUGAGUGAUGAAGGUCUUCGGAUCGUAAAACUCUGUUAUUAGGGAAGAACAAAUGUGUAAGUAACUAUGCACGUCUUGACGGUACCUAAUCAGAAAGCCACGGCUAACUACGUG
rnacentral:rRNA from 1 species